rnacentral:lncRNA from 1 species
AUGCCAGCCACAAGAAUGUUUAUCUUCUAUCUAUUCAUGCCAGGAGAAACACGAAUAAUGCAGCAUAAAGAAGUAAAAAUGUUUUCCCUUGUAACUUUUUUAAGCCUUUAUUUUAUACAACACUACUUAAAAGGUACCCAGUUUCUUGAUGAAAUUUGUAUUUCAGAUUUUUUUUUAAAGAUUUAUUUCAUUUAUUUGAAAGAGAGGUUUUGCAUCCACUGGUUCACUCCCCAGAUGGCCACAACGGCCAGAACUGCGCCAAUCCUAAGCCAAAAGCUUCUUUCAGGUCCCCCACAUAGGUGCAGGGGUCCAAGGACUUGGGCCAUCUUCUACCACUUUCCUAAGGCAUAGCAGAGAGCUGGAUUGGAAGAGGAGGUGCUGGGACUAGAACUGGCAUCCAUGUGGGAUGCCGGCGCUUCAGGCCAGGGCUUUAACCCUCUGCGCCACAGCACUGGCCCCAUCAUAGAUAUUACUUGUUAGUCACAUCAAAAUCAUCCUCACAUGGGCUUUUUGAAGUUGUCAGCACACAAGCUCAGUCUCCAUCAACUACCAGCUGCUAGCUCAAGGAAGUCAAGGACAAGGGAUGGGAACUGCCCAAUCUUAAACAACAUUUAUUACCAUAAUAUUUCGGUACAACACCAAAAGUGAUAAUUUUCCAUGGAGGAACCUGUAUGAUACCUGACCUGUGAUCUGAUUACUUAGAUACAAAUUAUUAAAUUUCCUAAUUACAUCAAAUCCCUUGCUGCUGUCACUGCUUCUGUUCCUCCUUUCUUCUCUCCUCUGUGGUAAUUUUAUUGACAUCAUUUGCAUUUCCUGCAGCAGGUGAGGAGGAAAAAACACAAGUGAUGAAACCCAAGCAAAUAUAUUCUCCAAAACAUAAAGCAGACAUUUCUACUGCAGAGAAUAUUAAAACUACUGCUAAUACAAGAUUUGUGAUUGGAUUGAUAAUUCCAACAUUCUAAGCAAUCCUUCCCUUAUAAACCUGAGUGAAAAGGAUUAACUAUAAAUGUAUCACAUUUUUAAAUGAAAAGAAUUUUAAAGUGUAAGUUUGUCACAUAAAAGGCAGUUUAAGCAGGUAUGUUGUAAAGCUAUUGUCGUAAAAACUAUUCCAUGUCACAAAGAUUUUUAUUCCCUUAAAAAUGCACAUCAUGUAAUAAAUAUGAUGAUCUCAUUUGAAUCUAUAUAAAU